AUUCGUAAUGCGAAGGUCGUAGGUUCGACUCCUAUUAUCGGCACCAUU
rnacentral:misc_RNA from 1 species